rnacentral:lncRNA from 1 species
CUGAGGCCGGGGUACGAGCUCCAAGGCUGGGGGGGAUAAGGGGAUGGCAAGCCAGAGGAUGCUGGGUGGAGGGAGGCGGGGGAGAAAGUGAGAAGGCGGGAGGGCAGGGGAUGCAGCCCAGCUAAGGUGAGAAAAGGUAAGGCAGUGGUGGCUGAGAACAGGCCGCACUGAAUGCUAGUAGAAUUAGGUGACCAGGUAGGGAAGAUGGAGUGUUAGUGAAGAAAUAAAUGACUUGUCACAGAAAUAGUGCAGGUCAUAGUGUAGGAGGACAUUUAAUCUGCAGAAGUGUGAAGCCUGUUAGGAGGCUAGGCUGGAGGAUGGAGGGAAAAAAGAGAAACAAGACGCUUGCAACAAGACCAAAAGAAAAAAAAAGGAGAGCCAGAAAAUCAGUAUUAGAGUUUUGUGAGUGUGGAGUGUCCUUUCCUUUCCCUGCCAUGGAUGUAAUGCUGGUUUGGAUUACAUCCAAUCAGAUGAGAGGACCGUGGCCCUUGUCAUAAUGACAAGCAUGACAUCAUGGCAAGGGCUAGCGGAGAGGAGACAGCGGAGAGCUCCAGACAGACGACGGGGCUGCACGCCGGGAUCUGCACGCCGACAAACGCGCACCGGCUGCCGGGUCGAAAGCGCACGGACUACCAGGUGUUGGUGGUUGGUGGCUCGGGGUCGGGGGGGAUACGAACGGAAAGUGCGGGCUGGGUGCCGACGACUGGAGCUCUGCCCCGGACAGGCUGAAGCUCCAUCAGCGGUGGGAGAGAUAGACACGAAGGAGGCUGAGCGACAUGGCAACUUGUUUAAUUUCUGCCAAUCAAGACGAGAGGAAGACAACUCCCAAACUGGCAUUCCUGCGGAUGGCCACAUCAAGCCCAAAGUUUGUUGCCUGUUUCCUAAAAA